UGAUACGAUCAUACCAGCACUAAUGCAUCGGAUUCCAUCCGAACUCCGCAGUUAAACUUGCUUGGAAGAUGUGUAGUAGUCUUAUACAUAGCAGUGUUAU
rfam:Cephalotus follicularis DNA, scaffold: scaffold1141, isolate: St1.